AUUGAACGCUGGCGGUAUGCCUAACACAUGCAAGUCGAACGGCAGCAUGACUAGAGCUUCGGUUUUUGUUGAUGGCGAGUGGCGGACGGGUGAGUAAUAGGUAGGAAUCUGUCCUAGAGAGUGGGAUAACACGCGGAAACGCGUGCUAAUACCACAUAACAUUGAGAAAUCAAAGCAGGGGACCCUUCGGGGCCUUGCGCUCUAGGUUGAGCCUACAUCGGAUUAGCUAGUUGGUAGGGUAAAAGCCUACCAAGGCAACGAUCCGUAGUUGGUCGGAGAGGAUGACCAGCCACACUGGGACUGAGACACGGCCCAGACUCCUACGGGAGGCAGCAGUGGGGAAUCUUGGACAAUGGGGGAAACCCUGAUCCAGCAAUACCGCGUGUGUGAAGAAGGCCUUCGGGUUGUAAAGCACUUUAGGUGGGGAAGAAAGAUUUACAAAGAAUACGUGUAAAUUUUGACGGUACCCGCAGAAUAAGCACCGGCUAACUCUGUGCCAGCCGCCGCCGUAA
rnacentral:rRNA from 1 species